AUUGAACGCUGGCGGCAUGCCUUACACAUGCAAGUCGAACGGCAGCACGGGUGCUUGCACCUGGUGGCGAGUGGCGAACGGGUGAGUAAUACAUCGGAACAUGUCCUGUAGUGGGGGAUAGCCCGGCGAAAGCCGGAUUAAUACCGCAUACGAUCUACGGAUGAAAGCGGGGGACCUUCGGGCCUCGCGCUAUAGGGUUGGCCGAUGGCUGAUUAGCUAGUUGGUGGGGUAAAGGCCUACCAAGGCGACGAUCAGUAGCUGGUCUGAGAGGACGACCAGCCACACUGGGACUGAGACACGGCCCAGACUCCUACGGGAGGCAGCAGUGGGGAAUUUUGGACAAUGGGCGAAAGCCUGAUCCAGCAAUGCCGCGUGUGUGAAGAAGGCCUUCGGGUUGUAAAGCACUUUUGUCCGGAAAGAAAUCCUUGGCCCUAAUACGGUCGGGGGAUGACGGUACCGGAAGAAUAGGCACCGGCUAACUACG
rnacentral:rRNA from 1 species